UCUAGCGGGGAUCGACACCCACCAGCGAGUUUCGCCCGUGGGUGCAUUUCGC
rnacentral:sRNA from 2 species